GUCCUAAGAUGAGCUCAACAAGAACAGAAAUCUCGUGUGGAACAGAAGGGUAAAAGCUCGUUUGAUUUUGAUUUCGAAUACAAAUACAAACCGUGAAAGCGUGGCCUAACGAUCCUUUAGACCUUCAGAAUUUGAAGCUAGAAGUGUCAGAAAAGUUACCACAGGGAUAAUUGGCUUGUGGCAGCCAAACGUUCAUAGCGACAUUGUUUUUUGAUCCUUCGAUGUCACUCUUCCUAUCAUUAUGAAGUAGAAUUCACCAAGUGUUGGAUUGUUCACCCACCAAUAGGGAACAUGAGCUGGGCUUAGACCAUUGUGAGACAAGUUAGUUUUACCCUACUGAUGACAGUGUCGCAAUAGUAAUUCAACCUAGUACGAGAGGAACCGUUGAUUUACAAUUGGUCAUCGCGCUUGGUUGAAAAACUAGUGGCGCAAAACUACCGUGCACUAGAUUAUGACUGAACGCCUCUAAGUCAGAAUCCAGCCGGGCUAGAAGCGACACAUGCGUCCGCCGCCCGCUUGUCGACCCCCCAUAGGGGUCGUCCGGUCCCCAAAGGCACGUGUCGUUAGUGAAGCCCACGCAGCUGAUGAGCAGCGCGGGCCGCCUUGAAGUACAAUUCCUAUCUCGAGUGGUAGGUAGAAUCAUUUGCAGAUGACUUAAAUACGCGAUGGGGUAUUGUAAGUGGCAGAGUGGCCUUGCUGCCACGAUCCACUGAGAU
rnacentral:rRNA from 1 species